rnacentral:sRNA from 1 species
GACGGCCCACAUGUCUGCAGUCUGCAACAAUUCAAAAAGAUAUGAACGAAAAGCCAACCAACGCUUUUGCACUCAAUCAUGCACCCGUAUUACAUGCAAUGGCAUCAAUUGCUCUAACACCAGCUCCACAUCUGCCCGUCUCCCAACAUGCCCCUGUCUUCUUCUCGACCAUACCAGGCAACACCCAAUAGAUGCCCAUCGACCUCCUCCCUUCUCCCCACCCUAACUCCUCUCUCCGGCAGCGCCUUCCAAGCUUUCACCAGCUCGCUCUCCCCGUCAAGGCCCCAAGCGCAUCCUUCUUCGUGUCCGACUUUGGCGGCGAGAAUAUCAAAUGCUUUGAGGACAGAUGGGAGUUGCAAAGGAGCAAGGUUGGAGAUUAAGGUUACGAGAAAGCGCUUCCUGAUGGAGCGAUUGUAUACGGUGAAUAGGACGAUAGCGUCUUCUGUAGGGUUACCAGAUGCUGCCUUGAUUCGAAGUCCGACAGGAAACGAUUUGAAUUCGGGGUUCAUCCAUGUGCCUUUCACCGGAAGGAACAAGAGGGUCCCAGGGUUUGCAGGAUCUUGCAAGAAGAUGGACCUCUCCAUAGUAUCUGAUUCCCUAAGCUCGUUCUGAGCUCGCACAGACAAUUCCUGGCCGACUGAAACAAGCUCUUCUUGAUAAAUCCAGGUAUACACUUCUUCUACAGGAUCGGUGCUGGGCAAGAUCUUCCACACAAGCUCACUGUUCAAGGCAUCAUCUACGAUCCAUCCCUGUCGACCUUGACCACUCAGACAGCGCGAAUAAAAGUUCGAUCCGACGUCUGACCAGAGUAUGGAUCCUAAGGCUCUCGGUACUUUAGGUGUGAUAUCAGGCGGAAGUUGAAUGUAGGGUUGGUCUUUGCCCCAUGAUUCUGGUACGGGAGGGAGUGUGUUCUCAGGACCGAGAUAUCGAUGCAAAAGGCUCAAGAGGCGAGUCGCGUAACCGUUACCUACAGCGUACAUAAUGUCAGUCCGUGUUAGAUAAACCCUCUUUAGUGUACUCACGAAGGUGUUGCUUGGGAGUGACUACCGAGGCAAUACCAUACACAUAUCCAUCUUCGAUAUCAUCUGCUCCUCGAUGUUUGACAAACGCUUUUCGUCGAUACCUGUGCAGCACGUCAGCGAGAUUGCCAGAUAGAUUCAUGGGCUCUCACGUUUUACAUGCGGCAUAGAUCUCACCUUCUGGGUCAUCUCUGUGCACAAGAACCCUGAUAUCUCGAGUCAGCUUGGUGAUGACUAGGUCAAUGUUGACUUACCAAGUUUGAAAUGCAUCUUUA